rnacentral:rRNA from 1 species
CAGUCGCCGCGGGAAUACAGAGGGUGCGAGCGUUAAUCGGAUUUACUGGGCGUAAAGCGUGCGUAGGCGGCUUUUUAAGUCGGAUGUGAAAUCCCUGAGCUUAACUUAGGAAUUGCAUUCGAUACUGGGAAGCUAGAGUAUGGGAGAGGAUGGUAGAAUACCAGGUGUAGCGGUGAAAUGCGUAGAGAUCUGGAGGAAUACCGAUGGCGAAGGCAGCCAUCUGGCCUAAUACUGACGCUGAGGUACGAAAGCAUGGGGAGCAAACAGGAUUAGAUACCCGUGUAGUCCCUGUCUCUUAUAC